rnacentral:rRNA from 1 species
GACGGAGGGUGCAAGCGUUGUUCGGAUUUACUGGGCGUAAAGGGUGCGUAGGUGGUUAGGUAAGACCCGCGGGAAAGACCUGGGCUUAACCCAGGAAGGUCGCAGGUGACUGCCUAGCUAGAGGGCGGGAGAGGAGAGCGGAAUUCCCGGUGUAGCGGUGAAAUGCGUAGAGAUCGGGAGGAAGGCCGGUGGCGAAGGCGGCUCUCUGGAACGUUCCUGACACUGAGGCACGAAAGCGUGGGGAGCAAACAGG